GAUGAACGCUGGCGGCGUGCUUAACACAUGCAAGUCGAACGAAGCACUUUAUUUGAUUUCCUUCGGGACUGAUUAUUUUGUGACUGAGUGGCGGACGGGUGAGUAACGCGUGGGUAACCUGCCUUGUACAGGGGGAGAACAGUUGGAAACGGCUGCUAAUACCGCAUAAGCGCACGGCAUCGCAUGAUGCAGUGGGAAAAAGUCCGGUGGUAUAAGAUGGACCCGCGUUGGAUUAGCUAGUUGGUGAGGUAACGGCCCACCAAGGCGACGAUCCAUAGCCGACCUGAGAGGGUGCCCGGCCACAUUGGGACUGCGACACGGCCCACACUCCUACGGGAGGCAGCAGUGGGGAAUAUUGCACAAUGGGCGCAAGCCUGAUGCAGCGACGCCGCGUGAGCGAAGAAGUAUUUCGGUAUGUAAAGCUCUAUCAGCAGGGAAGAUAAUGACGGUACCUGACUAAGAAGCACCGGCUAAAUACGUG
rnacentral:rRNA from 1 species